rnacentral:rRNA from 1 species
UACGGGGGGGGCAAGCGUUGUUCGGAAUUACUGGGCGUAAAGGGCGCGUAGGCGGUUUGCUAAGUUGAAUGUGAAAACUUUGGGCUUAAUUUAGAGUUUGCAUUCAAAACUGGCAGACUUGAGUAUUGGAGGGGAAAGCGGAAUUUUUGGUGUAGCGGUGAAAUGCGUAGAUAUCAGGAGGAACACCGGUGGCGAAGGCGGCUUUCUGGACAGUAACUGACGCUGAGGCGCGAAAGCUAGGGGAGCAAACAGG